rnacentral:rRNA from 1 species
AUUGAUUUUAUGCUUGCAUAAAUGAUUUUUGGAUUCGGAGCGAGUGGCGAACUGGUGAGUAACACGUGGGUAACCUGCCCCGAAGCGGGGGAUAACAUUUGGAAACAAGUGCUAAUGCCGCAUAAUUAGUUGGAACCGCAUGGUUCCAACUUGAAAGAUGGCUCUGCUAUCACUUUGGGAUGGACCCGCGCCGUAUUAGUUAGUUGGUGAGAUAAAAGCCCACCAAGACGAUGAUACGUAGCCGACCUGAGAGGGUAAUCGGCCACAUUGGGACUGAGACACGGCCCAGACUCCUACGGGAGGCAGCAGUAGGGAAUCUUCCACAAUGGACGAAAGUCUGAUGGAGCAACGCCGCGUGAGUGAUGAAGGUUUUCGGAUCGUAAAACUCUGUUGUUAAAGAAGAACAAGUGUUAGAGUAACUGUUAACACUUUGACGGUAUUUAACCAGAAAGCCACGGCUAACUACGUGCCAGCAGCCGCGGUAAUACGUAGGUGGCAAGCGUUGUCCGGAUUUAUUGGGCGUAAAGCGAGCGCAGGCGGUUUUGUAAGUCUGCUGUGAAAGCCCUCAGCUCAACUGAGGAAGUGCAGUGGAAACUACAAAACUUGAGUACAGAAGAGGAAAGUGGAACUCCAUGUGUAGCGGUGAAAUGCGUAGAUAUAUGGAAGAACACCAGUGGCGAAGGCGGCUUUCUGGUCUGUUACUGACGCUGAGGCUCGAAAGCAUGGGUAGCGAACAGGAUUAGAUACCCUGGUAGUCCAUGCCGUAAACGAUGAAUACUAGGUGUUGGAGGGUUUCCGCCCUUCAGUGCCGCAGCUAACGCAUUAAGUAUUCCGCCUGGGGAGUACGACCGCAAGGUUGAAACUCAAAGGAAUUGACGGGGGCCCGCACAAGUGGUGGAGCAUGUGGUUUAAUUCGAUGCUACGCGAAGAACCUUACCAGCUCUUGACAUCUUCUGCCAACCCAAGAGAUUGGGCGUUCCCUUCGGGGACAGAAUGACAGGUGGUGCAUGGUUGUCGUCAGCUCGUGUCGUGAGAUGUUGGGUUAAGUCCCGCAACGAGCGCAACCCUUAUUAUUAGUUGCCAGCAUUUAGUUGGGCACUCUAGUGAGACUGCCGGUGAUAAA